rnacentral:rRNA from 1 species
GAUGAACGCUGGCGGCGUGCCUAACACAUGCAAGUCGAACGGAGAUUCCGGACGGAAGUUUUCGGAUGGAAGACUGUAAUUCUUAGUGGCGGACGGGUGAGUAACGCGUGGGCAACCUGCCCUAUACAGGGGGAUAGCAGCUGGAAACGGCUGGUAAGACCGCAUAAGUCGGUUAAAUCGCAUGAUUUGAUCGGGAAAUGAGCAAUCAGGUAUAGGAUGGGCCCGCGUCCGAUUAGCCAGUUGGCAGGGUAAAAGCCUACCAAAGCGACGAUCGGUAGCCGGACUGAGAGGUCGGACGGCCACAUUGGGACUGAGACACGGCCCAAACUCCUACGGGAGGCAGCAGUGGGGGAUAUUGCACAAUGGAGGAAACUCUGAUGCAGCGACGCCGCGUGAGUGAAGAAGUAUUUCGGUAUGUAAAGCUCUAUCAGCAGGGAAGAUGAUGACGGUACCUGACGAAGAAGCUCCGGCUAACUACGUG